rnacentral:rRNA from 1 species
UCCAGAGGUCCCAAGCGUUGUUCGGAUUCCUUGGGCGUAAAGGGCGCGUAGGCGGUACUUCAAGUCAGACGUGAAAUCCCCAGGCUCAACCUGGGAACUGCGUCUGAUACUGGAUGGCUUGAAUCCGGGAGAGGGAUGCAGAAUUCCAGGUGUAGCGGUGAAAUGCGUAGAUAUCUGGAGGAAUACCGGUGGCGAAGGCGGCAUCCUGGACCGGCAUUGACGCUGAGGAGCGAAAGCUAGGGGAGCAAACGGG